GCGAGCGAAGCGAGUCCCUUCCUAGUGAUGAACGUUGCAAUUUUGUCUGUGUGUCUGUGUGUGUGUGUGUGUGUGUGUGUGUGUCAUGGACCGGCACGAUAUUUGUUUUUUGUACUCGUGACGCUUUACCAACUUUUACGUGAAAGCUGCGCAUGGGCACAAGAGCUAGCUACACUCAGGAACAAAGGCUCAGACAAGACACAGAGACUCUUGAGGCUACAAGCACGCCUACAGCAGGUCAGAGCAGCUCAGAUGGGGACCUUCUGAGCCUAAAAUCACACAGGCACGCCUGCAGGAGGUCACAGCAGCUUACUUGCCAUGUUUCACUUCUAAGUCUUGUGUUUUUGUGAUAAUAAACCUGCUAGCUCAACAGGACAAAACAGAGAUCGAGGCCAGUCACUAGGACAGGUCAGAGCAGCUCAGAUGGAGACUUCUGAAGUUGCACAGGCACCUUUAGACAAUACAGCACUAUGGCAGGUCAGACCAGCUCAGAUGGACACUUCUGAGGCCACACAGGCACGCUUACAACAGGUCAGAGUAGCUUUAAGGAUUGUUUACACUGACAGUAUACUAUAGCCUUGUAAUUUGGGUCCAGCAAAAAGUGAUAAUAUCUCCUUGCUUAGUUUGUACAGCCAGCUCUUUCGUGCUGAACUUUCACUCAUAGAUAUAAUUAUGCAUGUUUCACUCUUAGUAAGUCAACUUCAUGUUACACCAUGCACAGUCAAAGACAACAAUCCUACACCACUCUGACAGAAUAAUUGUUGUUUGAUGGUCACAAUCAUCUGGUCUAAUCGUGUGUACAUGUAGUAGAUAUAAAGAAGUGAUUAUAAAGGUUUAAAUUAUGACGGUUAAUCUGCAUAAGUGGUUGCAUUUCUUAGCGGUAAUUAUCUCAUGGUAUCCAGUUUUUCCGUGGUCAAUUGUGCAUUGCAUUCCUCUUGAGAAUCCUCAGACCUAGUGCCAAGCGUGUGAGUGUGGCCAUGGUAAGGCUAGAAUGCAAUCGGGUAUACAGCUGGCACAGGAAAGUCGUAUCUACAUGGACUACUCGGUUAUUCACAAUCACUGUUCAUUUCAUUCGAUUCAUAUAAACAAUAGAUAUACUUAAAAUUACCACAAUGUACCAAAUGACUGUACAACAAAUACAAAAUUGCUCGCUCGCCCCAAACAUGCUCUGCAUGCUCCUAGUAGUCUCAUGAAUCAGCCGCCGUUCUUUUGGUUCCAAAGAACGGCGGCUGAUUCAUGAGACUAGUAUUUAUUAGUGGCGUUAAGAGCACAGUUUGCUAUAAUACUACAAACUAUUAAUAUCUUUACUGACAUUUUGAGUGCACACACCCCUUUUGCUCAUUACACGCCCCUUUUUAGCAACUCAGUGCUGGGUGUUGCCUAUCCCUUUCUUUCGUGUAUCUAUGGUCUGUGGUAACACAUACACAUUCCAAACCUCCUCCAAGACAAAAAAUAGACUCUAGCAGCCAUGCAGCACAGCUCAGCAUCAACAAAAGACUCGACUAGCAUGAUGGAAUCUCCCGGAAGAAUGUGGAGUAUUCGACUGAUAAAAGAUCAAUCGUACACUGCGACAUUCCCUAGACAGAUACAUUUGUCAAGUGCAAUGCUCUGCUUGGACAGUUUGGGUCCCCGUUGUUUUUUUGACUGUCUCGUUGAGGUACAUGUUGUUGAGAAUGGAACAGACCAUUUAAUUGGAGUACUUGCUGGUCAUGGUAAUAGUCAAGUAAAUCCUAUUUUGCAGUGCAAUAUCAAUAUCAAGUUGGACCCUUCUCGACCUGUCAACUUCUAUGUGAAGACCGCUCCUCUGCCAUACAAUACUUACGGAGGAGCGCCUGGAAUCAAACUCUCAAAGAGUCCACUAGCUGUACAAAUUGUAGGUUAUUUUGACUAACCAGUUGCACUUGAACAUUUUUAGUUGUAAAAUGUCAUGUGAAUUUUCAAGAGACCGAGUUGAAGUACUAUA